GAUGGUUGGUGGUGAGGUCAACGAUAAGGGAUAGACCAUCUGAGUUUGUUACGGGCAUUGUGGAAGAAGGACUCCUAGUUAUGAAUGUUGGAGAGGAUUGGGAUUGUGUUAUUGGGUUAGUGUUAGGAUUGGGUUGAGCAUUGAUAGGAGUUUGUGGCUGGGUGAGUGUUGGUUGUUGAUUUUUUGUUGGUGCAAAUUGGUGUUGCGUUGUCAAGUGGUGGGAUGGAGAAGGAC
rnacentral:misc_RNA from 1 species